rnacentral:rRNA from 1 species
AGUGAACGCUGGCGGUAGGCCUAACACAUGCAAGUCGAACGGCAGCACAGUAAGAGCUUGCUCUUACGGGUGGCGAGUGGCGGACGGGUGAGGAAUACAUCGGAAUCUACUUUUUCGUGGGGGAUAACGUAGGGAAACUUACGCUAAUACCGCAUACGACCUACGGGUGAAAGCAGGGAUCUUCGGACCUUGCGCGAUUGAAUGAGCCGAUGUCGGAUUAGCUAGUUGGCGGGGUAAAGGCCCACCAAGGCGACGAUCCGUAGCUGGUCUGAGAGGAUGAUCAGCCACACUGGAACUGAGACACGGUCCAGACUCCUACGGGAGGCAGCAGUGGGGAAUAUUGGACAAUGGGCGCAAGCCUGAUCCAGCCAUACCGCGUGGGUGAAGAAGGCCUUCGGGUUGUAAGGCCCUUUUGUUGGGAAAGAAAAGCAGCAGGUUAAUACCCCGCUGUUCUGACGGUACCCAAAGAAUAAGCACCGGCUAACUUCGUG